rnacentral:rRNA from 1 species
CUUCGGUUGUAAGCUCUGUCGGGCGGGACGAAACGCCAGGGUGAAUAGCCUCUGGAAUUGACGGUACCGCCAAAGGAAGCACCGGCUAACUUCGUGC